rnacentral:rRNA from 1 species
ACUCCUACGGGAGGCAGCAGUGGGGAAUAUUGCGCAAUGGGCGGAAGCCUGACGCAGCGACGCCGCGUGGGGAUGACGGCCUUCGGGUUGUAAACCUCUUUCGCCAGGGACGAAGCUUUGGUGACGGUACCUGGAGAAGAAGCACCGGCCAACUACGUGCCAGCAGCCGCGGUAACACGUAGGGUGCGAGCGUUGUCCGGAAUUAUUGGGCGUAAAGAGCUCGUAGGCGGUGUGUCGCGUCGGCCGUGAAAACUUGGGCUUAACUCUGAGCGUGCGGUCGAUACGGGCAUCACUUGAGUUCGGCAGGGGAGACUGGAAUUCCUGGUGUAGCGGUGAAAUGCGCAGAUAUCAGGAGGAACACCGGUGGCGAAGGCGGGUCUCUGGGCCGAUACUGACGCUGAGGAGCGAAAGCAUGGGGAGCGAACAGGAUUAGAUACCCUGGUAGA